CCUACGGGAGGCAGCAGUGGGGAAUAUUGGGCAAUGGGCGCAAGCCUGACCCAGCAACGCCGCGUGAAGGAAGAAGGCGUUCGGGUUGUAAACGUCUGGUAAGAGGGAAGAGCAGAAGACGGUACCUCUUGAAUAAGCCACGGCUAACGACGUGCCAGCAGCCGCGGUAAUACGUAGGUGGCAAGCGUUGUCCGGAUUUACUGGGUGUAAAGGGCGUGCAGCCGGGAAGACCAGUCAGAGGUGAAAUCCCGCGGCUCAACCGCGGAACUGCAUUUUAAACUGUUUUUCUUGAGUACCGGAGCGCUCAUCGGCAUUCCUUGUGUAGCGGUGCAAUGCGUAGAUAUCAGGAA
rnacentral:rRNA from 1 species